UCAAGUGUAUAUCUUUCAAUUGAAGCACGCAAUACUUGUACUGCAGGUCACCCUUGUUCAGACUUGAACGAAAUUCAGAUUCAAUUUCGAGGAGAUUUUUCGACAAUGAGGUAAUUUUCUGUUUUAUCUCUUCCUAGUGAUAAUAUUUGCCAAGAUGUGUAAUUGUCCCGAGAAAAUAAUUCUGUUACAGUAAAAAAUUCACGCACAUUUUGUUUUGCAGAUGCUGUGACUGUGCUAAUGAUAUGAAGGAGCGCAAUGACUGUAAGUAUAUUAAAUUACACGAACAGUCCUCCCCUCCCCUUUUCUGUUUAAACUUAAUGCUUACAAGGAAGUUUUAGAAUUAACUCGUAACUUAAUUCCAGGUGAACUUGCCGAGAGAAGUUGGUACCUUUACAUUUUUCAUGUAUACGGCUCUCAUGUAGCCUGAAGUCGCCCAUGUAGCUUGAACUGUUCUGAAACAUUUGGUAUGGUCGGUGGAAAACUUUAGGCACAAGAGUCGACCUCAUUCCACUUAUAUGCUUCUAGGAAAGUUCGUCAUCAAGCUUCCUUUGAUUGAAACAGAAGCAAAAAAACAAGAGAUAAGAACAAUCAACUUUUUUCAAAAGUGCUUUUCUCCCUUCGACUGACACAGCACCUGACGCAAGUUAUCAAUUCCUUCUCAACUCUGGGACCUAUAUGACCUAGAAUAGUAUCAAAGAAAAGUUUAAUUGACUGUUGAUUGUAACGUUUAUCUGCGUCGACCAAUGACAAUGUGACAUGUCCUUGGUGAUGCCUGCUAGUGGAAAUUGUUCCUUGAAAGUUUAUCCGCGUCGACCAGUGACAAUGUGACAUGUCGAUGAUGAUGCUUGCUAGUGGAAUUGUUACUUGAAAGCUUAAUCUGUGGCUCUGCCUGUUUUUUAGUUACACCAUUCUUGCUGCUGCUUUUUGCUUUCACCCAUACGAUCUCUCUCUAUAUAACAGCACAGUCAAAGCUUGAGGAGGAACCACAAAUCAGUUUCUAGCAUCUCUGGCUGUUGGAAAAUCCAGUGUUCGAAGUCAUUGAAGAGAAUCGCAAGCGCCGGGUCUGAGGUCAAGCUUGUUGGCACUCAAAGAAGUACAUCGUCGAUGGGUUGUUGCCGCGGUUCAUAUCUUUUGAGGCAGUUGUUUUGGAAGUUGAAGUCACAAUGGAAACAAUGUUUGGGACGGAAAAAGUGCUACAACCGGUUCAGCUAUGAUCUUCAGAGCUACUCUCUGAACUUCGACGACGGUUUUGAUGGCCAUCACUCAUAGUUUCCGUCCUCUCAAAGGAGUAAAUUUUACAGAAACCAUUUGAAUAUUGGACACUUUUGUCCUCUUAAGAUAUGUAGAUAUAUUUUCGAUUUACUCGAGUUUAUAUAUUCAUGCGACUUAGAUUUGCUAUGAGAGUUGGCAAAUAAUAGCAUGAUUUUUGUUUCAUUUUCGACCAAUUUUGCUUCCAUGCAGCGAAAUUAAUGUUGAGAAAUGAUUUUCGUACAGUAUAAAAAUUGCUAUUUCCGUUUUUUU